rnacentral:rRNA from 1 species
UCCAAUAGCGGAGGAAAAGAAACUAACAAGGAUUCCCCUAGUAACGGCGAGUGAAGCGGGAUGAGCUCAAAUUUAAAAUCUUGCAGCCUCAGGUUGUACGAGUUGUAGUCUAGAGAAUCGUUUUCCGCGUUGGCCUGUGUACAAGUCCCUUGGAACAGGGCGUCAUAGAGGGUGAGAAUCCCGUCCUUGACACAGAUUACCAAUGCUUUGUGAUGCGAUCUCGAAGAGUCGAGUUGUUUGGGAAUGCAGCUCAAAAUGGGUGGUAAAUUCCAUCUAAAGCUAAAUAUUGGCGAGAGACCGAUAGCGAACAAGUACCGUGAGGGAAAGAUGAAAAGCACUUUGGAAAGAGAGUUAAACAGUACGUGAAAUUGUUAAAAGGGAAACGAUUGAAGUCAGUCAUGCUCUCCGAGACUCAGCCGAUUCUGUCGGUGUACUUCUCGGUUGGCAGGCCAGCAUCAGUUUUGAUCUGUGGAAAAGGUUGGAGAGAAUGUGGCAUCUUCGGAUGUGUUAUAGCUCUUCUUCGAAUACAUAGAGCGGGACUGAGGAACGCAGCGUGCCCUUUAUUGGGUUGGCCUUCGGGUACAUACACGCUUAGGAUGCUGGCAUAAUGGCUUUAAACGACCCGUCUUGACAC